rnacentral:tRNA from 1 species
UGGGGUGGUGGCUCAGUGUUAGAGCACUCACCCAACGCAUGCGAGAGGUCCUGGGUUCCAUCCUCAGCACCACAG